UACGAAGGGGGCUAGCGUUGCUCGGAAUCACUGGGCGUAAAGCGCACGUAGGCGGAUCUUUAAGUCAGGGGUGAAAUCCCAAGGCUCAACCUUGGAACUGCCUUUGAUACUGGGGAUCUCGAGUCCGGAAGAGGUUGGUGGAACUGCGAGUGUAGAGGUGAAAUUCGUAGAUAUUCGCAAGAACACCAGUGGCGAAGGCGGCCAACUGGUCCGGUACUGACGCUGAGGUGCGAAAGCCAGGGGAGCAAACGGG
rnacentral:rRNA from 1 species